rnacentral:rRNA from 1 species
GACGAACGCUGGCGGCGUGCUUAACACAUGCAAGUCGAACGGAAAGGCCCUGCUUUUGUGGGGUGCUCGAGUGGCGAACGGGUGAGUAACACGUGAGUAACCUGCCCUUGACUUUGGGAUAACUUCAGGAAACUGGGGCUAAUACCGGAUAGGAGCUCCUGCUGCAUGGUGGGGGUUGGAAAGUUUCGGCGGUUGGGGAUGGACUCGCGGCUUAUCAGCUUGUUGGUGGGGUAGUGGCUUACCAAGGCUUUGAUGGGUAGCCGGCCUGAGAGGGUGACCGGCCACAUUGGGACUGAGAUACGGCCCAGACUCCUACGGGAGGCAGCAGUGGGAAAUAUUGCACAAUGGGCGGAAGCCUGAUGCAGCAACGCCGCGUGCGGGAUGACGGCCUUCGGGUUGUAAACCGCUUUCGCCUGUGACGAAGCGUGAGUGACGGUAAUGGGUAAAGAAGCACCGGCUAACUACGUG